rnacentral:lncRNA from 1 species
CAUAGAAGUCGUGGAUGCACGUAUCUGUGUACGCAGUAAUUCCAAUGCAAACUGAUGUAACUUUUGAUUGGGAUCUUGCAAUACUUCUACCAAGAUUAAUCAACCUUAGAUGAUCACUCCACACUGGAUCAUGAGUUUCAAUGUUUGCUAGUCACCAUAAUCGUGAACGCUUCUGCGGUCAAUUGAUCAACUGCAAUAUCAAAUCUGUUUUACCAUAAAAUUAUCUCAGUAGGGUGACAGGAAGUUGACGCCGACGGAGGCGGGAACGUCAGACGUCGCGAUGCACCUGUGACGUGCAAAUCGCCGUUGGUGGAGCGGCGUUAAGCCGUUAUCCCCGAAAAAAUAUCAAAAGAAACAAAAGAAAAAAAACAUAACGGUGAUCGGGAGAGGAGAUAAGCGGAUUCGCCUUAUGGGGUCGCGUGUUCACCAAAUUGCAUUUCUCUGUAUCGGCUGUCAUGAACCACCGACACAGAACUCUCAGACCCAACGUCGACAUUCGUGAAAUUCGAUCGAUGUUUCUGAUUAAUAUUCGAACGAUAGGUCAUGAUCGUUUCUCUUGAUAUCUGAACCAAGUAAUUAUUAUUUAAGGUCUCUAUGUGUGUGUGUGUGUGUUUUACAUUUUAA